rnacentral:rRNA from 1 species
UGAGUAAUGUCUGGGAAACUGCCCGAUGGAGGGGGAUAACUACUGGAAACGGUAGCUAAUACCGCAUAACGUCUUCGGACCAAAGUGGGGGACCUUCGGGCCUCACACCAUCGGAUGUGCCCAGAUGGGAUUAGCUAGUAGGUGGGGUAAUGGCUCACCUAGGCGACGAUCCCUAGCUGGUCUGAGAGGAUGACCAGCCACACUGGAACUGAGACACGGUCCAGACUCCUACGGGAGGCAGCAGUGGGGAAUAUUGCACAAUGGGCGCAAGCCUGAUGCAGCCAUGCCGCGUGUAUGAAGAAGGCCUUCGGGUUGUAAAGUACUUUCAGUGGGGAGGAAGGCGUUAAGGUUAAUAACCUUGGCGAUUGACGUUACCCGCAGAAGAAGCACCACCCGCUAACUCCGUGCCAGCAGCCGCGGUAAUACGGAGGGUGCAAGCGUUAAUCGGAAUUACUAUGGUAAAGCGCACGCAGGCGGUCUGUCAAGUCGGAUGUGAAAUCCCCGGG